AGUGUUCCUUCUGAUGUUUUCGUUGUUGCUAUCUUCCUUGAAUUUUAUUUCUUCUGAGGUUUCUCACUGUGUAUGCUGUUUCUUAGCCUAGGAGAGCCUUUUCGUUCUUCUCCUAAGACUAACAUUUUACUAAUUUGUCAAGGAGCUAGAGCUCCUAAACACGCCAUCUUGAAUUCUUCCCUGCGACCCCAGUCGGGCUGAAAGCUCCUUCCUUGUCGCUCCCCACUGAACAGAUUUUUCUUGGGGCGGGGAGAGGGGGACGGAGUAUCGCUGAGUCGCCAGGCUGGAGUGCAAUGGCGCGAUCUCGGCUCACCGCAACCUCCGCCUCCCGGGUUCAAGCGAUUCUUCUGCCUCAUCCUCCCAAGUAGCUGGGACUUCCGGCGCGCGCCACCACGCCCAGCUAAUUUUUGUAUUUUUAGUAGAGCCGGGGUUUCACCUUGUUGGCCAGGAUGGUCUUGAUCUCCUGACUUCGUGAUCUGCUCGCCUCAGCCUCCCAAAGUGCUGGGAAUACAGGCGUGAGCCACUGCGCCCGGUCAGAACAGUUUUAACCUCCAGCAAUGACCACUGCUUCCUUCUGCCUGCAGCGGGGUAGAAAGCCGUGCCG
rnacentral:lncRNA from 10 species